CGAAGGCGGCUCACUGGCGCAGUCCUGACGCUGAGGCACGAAAGCGUGGGGAGCACACAGGAUUAGAUACCCUGGUAGUCCACGCCGUAAACGAUGGGCACUUUGUAGAGGGGGACUCGUUUCCCUCUCUGCCGGAGCAAAUGCGUUAAGUGCCCCGCCUGGGGAGUAUGGUCGCAAGGCUAAAACUCAAAGGAAUCGACGGGGGCUCACACAAGCGGUGGAGGAUGUUGUUCAAUUCGAAGCAACGCGAAGAACCUUACCUGGGUUUGACAUGCAGGGAUUAACCCGGUGAAAGCCGGGGGCUUGCCGUUUAGGUGUAACCUGCACAGGUGCUGCAUGGCUGUCGUCAGUUCGUGUCGUGAGAUGUCGGGUUAAGUCCCAUAACGAGCGAAACCCCUCUCGUCAGUUGCUACCGGGUUAUGCCGGGCACUCUGGCGAUACUGCCGGUCGUAAACCGGAGGAAGGCGGGGACGACGUCAAGUCAUCAUGGCCCUUAUGUCCAGGGCGACAAACGUCCUACAAUGGUCGGUACAAAGGGAAGCAAGACCGCGAGGUGGAGCAAAUCCCCAAAGCCGGCCCUAGUUCAGAUUGGAGGCUGAAAUUCGCCUCCAUGAAGGUGGAAUCGCUAGUAACCGCGCGAUCAGCCACGCUCCGGUGAAUCUGUUCCUGAGCAUUGUACACACCGCCCGUCAAGCCACCCAAGUCGGGGGUAC
rnacentral:rRNA from 1 species